CGCGAACGCACCUUCGGGUGUUAUUAGAGUGGCGGACGGGUGAGUAACACGUGGGAACAUGCCUUUCGGUACGGAACAACGCUUGGAAACGAGUGCUAAUACCGUAUACGCCCUUCGGGGGAAAGAUUUAUCGCCGAAAGAUUGGCCCGCGCUAGAUUAGCUAGUUGGUAAGGUAAUGGCUUACCAAGGCGACGAUCUAUAGCUGGUUUGAGAGGAUGAUCAGCCACACUGGGACUGAGACACGGCCCAGACUCCUACGGGAGGCAGCAGUGGGGAAUAUUGGACAAUGGGGGCAACCCUGAUCCAGCGAUGCCGCGUGAGUGAUGAAGGCCUUAGGGUUGUAAAACUCUUUCAGAUGGGAUGAUAAUGACAGUACCAUCAGAAGAAGCACCGGCUAACUCCGUGCCAGCAGCCGCGGUAAUACGGAGGGUGCGAGCGUUAAUCGGAAUUACUGGGCGUAAAGCGCACGCAGGCGGUUAUAUAAGCUAGAUGUGAAAGCCCCGGGCUCAACCUGGGAAUAGCAUUUAGAACUGUAUGACUAGAGUCUUGGAGAGGGGAGUGGAAUUCCAGGUGUAGCGGUGAAAUGCGUAGAUAUCUGGAGGAACAUCAGUGGCGAAGG
rnacentral:rRNA from 1 species